AACGAACGCUGGCGGCAUGCCUAACACAUGCAAGUCGAACGAGACCUUCGGGUCUAGUGGCGCACGGGUGCGUAACGCGUGGGAAUCUGCCCUAGGGUGCGGAAUAACUCGGAGAAAUCCGUGCUAAUACCGCAUAAUGUCUUCGGACCAAAGAUUUAUCGCCCUGGGAUGAGCCCGCGUAGGAUUAGCUAGUUGGUGGGGUAAAGGCCUACCAAGGCGACGAUCCUUAGCUGGUCUGAGAGGAUGAUCAGCCACACUGGGACUGAGACACGGCCCAGACUCCUACGGGGGGCAGCAGUGGGGAAUAUUGGACAAUGGGCGAAAGCCUGAUCCAGCAAUGCCGCGUGAGUGAUGAAGGCCCUAGGGUUGUAAAGCUCUUUUACCCGGGAUGAUAAUGACAGUACCGGGAGAAUAAGCUCCGGCUAACUCCGUGCCAGCCGCCGCAGUAAUAC
rnacentral:rRNA from 1 species